UGGAAUGUCGUCCAAUCCGGCCCGGGCAGUGGACUUUUCAAGGGUCUGGACGCGUCCGCCCGGUUCUACUUCGUGCAUUCCUAC
rnacentral:tRNA from 1 species